rnacentral:rRNA from 1 species
UACGUAGGGGGCAAGCGUUGUCCGGAAUCAUUGGGCGUAAAGCGCGUGUAGGCGGUUCGAUAAGUCUGCUGUGAAAAGUCCAGGGCUCAACCCUGGAAAGCCGGUGGAUACUGUCGGACUAGAGUGCGGAAGAGGCGAGUGGAAAUUCCCGGUGUAGCGGUGAAAUGCGCAGAUAUCGGGAGGAACACCAAUUGCGAAGGCAGCUCGCUGGGACGUUACUGACGCUGAGACGCGAAAGCGUGGGGAGCAAACAGG